CACGAAUGGAACAUGAACACAAAACGCUAUCUAGGAAAAUAUGGCGGGUGAGUCCAGAGCCCCCAAAAUUGAUGAUUCUACAGUCAAGCUAUAUAUAGGUGGAAUUGAUCCAGGAUGGUCUAGCGACAAAAUUAUAGAAAUAUUGUCAAAUCAUGGCAAUGUAAAGCGAGCUGACGUGGUAAAAAACUUUGCAUUUGCGUUUGUGGAUAAUCAAACAUCAGCAGAUAAUAUAAUCAAAGAGUUGAGUGGUACCACAAUUGAGGGCAACAGAAUUGUUAUCCAGAUUUCAAAAAAUAAACAAAAUCUUCCCGAUUGUGAUGAGCUGUGCUUUGAGUGUGGUGAACCCGGUCACUGGGCAAAGGAAUGCACCCAACGGAGAAGACGCUUGGCCAAACGGGGUGAGCCACCUAUGAGGGGCAGGCCACCUAUGAGAGGUGGACCACCAAGCAGGGGCGGACCACACAGUAGAGGAGGACCAAGAGAUUACCCAAGUGACAGACCUGGUUAUGACAGACUCUCACUAAUGCGUGCACAGGAUCCUUAUGCCAGACAAUAUGAAGAAAGAGCCAGAGCCAUGUAUUCUCGUGAUCCUUAUGCUCGCGAUCCUUACAGCAGAGAUCCAUAUGCAAGAGAUCCCUAUGGGAGAGAUCCUUACCCUUCUUAUGCAGCUACAUCUCGAUAUGACUACGAUAGGUAUGAUCCAACGCGAGCAUAUGCUUCAUCUGCAUACAGAGAGCGAAGUCCCACGUCUGCCUAUGCGGCGUACAGACGAGGGAGCUCUCCAACGAGAACAUAUGUAGCUGCAGAUCCAUAUGCAGCUAACCGAGAAAGAUUAGCAUACGGGCGUGCAGUUGUUGCGGAUAUGUAUGAACCCCGUCGACCUUUAGAUCCAUAUGAAUCUGCUCGUAGAGCUUUAGAUACCCUUGAUUCAUACGAAGCGUUGCGUCGAACCGAUCCAUAUAACGUUCCUGGUGCCAUGAGAGUUGCAGACCCAUAUCUCCCUCCUUCAAGAGAACGUUAUACAUCAGAUAUGGCAGUUGCUUCCAAAAGGUAAUAUGUCGGAAACUCAUAUUUGAUUCAAUUGUUGGUAUGAAAGGCAGUCAUUUGGAACAAGACCCGGAAUUAGAUAACUCCACACAGUUAUAGAAGGAUAUAUUAUCGGCCAUCCAAUGUAAUUUUGCAAUAAAGGUGAAUGAUUUGCAGAAAUUUGUUUACGUCCACGUCAGUUGUAGACAUGCUUAAACAGAGAAAGACUUUGAUGAAGCAAUUUAACCCUGCUGUUACUUUUGCUGCACAUGAUAUUUGGCUAGUCUUCAUGUAUUUUUUAGAUUUUCUUGCAUUUAUGUAACCAGUAAAUAAAGAAGGAACGAUAUUAAA